ACGUUAACACACCGACUCCCAUACGAUCACAGAAGUUAAGGAAGGACGAACCUGGUCAGCACUUAGAUGGGUGACUGUUUGGGAAUACCUGAUGUUGUAAG